GCCACUCUGGCCCAACAAAGGUAGAGGCGCUACUUUCAAAAAGUAGGAGUUCCCGGUUCGAUCCCGGGGAGUGGCACCA
rnacentral:tRNA from 1 species